rfam:chromosome VIII of strain GB-M1 of Encephalitozoon cuniculi (Microspora)
CUCUCAAUAGCUCAGUGGUAGAGCAUUCGACUGUAGAGGUGUGCUGAUAUCGAAUGGCCGCUGGUUCGACUCCAGCUUGGGAGA